rnacentral:rRNA from 1 species
AUUGAACGCUGGCGGCAGGCCUAACACAUGCAAGUCGAGCGAGCGGCGGACGGGGGAGUAAUGUCUGGGAAACUGCCCGUUGGAGGGGGAUAAAUACUGGAAACGGUAUCUAAUACCGCACACCACCUGAUGUGCGCCGAUGGGAUUAGCUAGUAGGGGGGGUAACGGCUCACCUAGGCGACGAUCCCUAGCUGGUCUGAGAGGAUGAUCAGCCACACUGGAACUGAGACACGGUCCAGAUUCCUACGGGAGGCAGCAGUGGGGAAUAUUGCACAAUGGGCGCAAGCCUGAUGCAGCCAUGCCGCGUGUGUGAAGAAGGCCUUCGGGUUGUAAAGCACUUUCAGCGGGGAGGCGUUACCCGCAGAAGAAGCACCGGCUAACUCCGUGCCAGCAGCCGCGGUAAUUC